AAUAUUGGUCAAUGGAGGCAACUCUGAACCAGACAAGUCGCGUGAAGGAUGACUGCCCUACGGGUUGUAAACUUCUUUUUUAAGGGAAUCAAGUGAGCUACGUGUGGCUUUUUGCAUGUACCUUACGAAUAAGGCACGGCUUACCCCGUGCCAGCAGCCGCGGUAAUACGGAGGAUCCGAGCGUUAUCCGGAUUUAUUGGGUUUAAAGGGUGCGCAGGCGGAAUAUUAAGUCGGCGGUGAAAGUUUGCAGCUUAACUGUAAAAUUGCCGUUGAUACUGGUAUUCUCGAGUGUAUAUGAAGUAGGCGGAAUGUGUAGUGUAGCGGUGAAAUGCAUAGAUAUUACAAGGAACUCCGAUUGCGAAGGCAGCUUACUAAAAUACAACUGACGCUUAGGCACGAAGGCGUGGGGAUCAAACA
rnacentral:rRNA from 1 species